UGUAGAAACUGAUAAGUAUUUGACGUAUACUCUACAAUCAUUUUUUAACAUUCACUAAGAGCAACUGAUUGCUGUGCUCUGAAGUUUGGCAAGAAUGAAACAGUAGCUGUCUCCAUCCACAAAGAUGUUAUUACCCUUGAGUUAUGGCCUAGAAGUGAUUCGUUUUCUGGAUCAAGCUCCUCCAAGACCCAGAAAUGGGACGGACCGUCGUUAUUCAGAGAAUGAAGUUCACCCCUGUAGUAGACUCAAUGAGAAUAUUGACUUAAUGUCUACUGGGAGCAUGAAACAGAACCGAAAGCCCGUAGAAUUGGUUUUCCGGGAUGUCUGUGUCUUUUUUGGUGAGAAGGAAAUCCUGCAUAAUGUUAGUGGAAGAGUCCGUCCUGGGGAGUUGCUCUCUGUGAUGGGACCAAGAGGUAAGUAUGCCGUAUAUUGAACUUUAAGUCUAACAACCAAGUCAGAAACACUGAUUUCUAACAAGCAUAAUGUAACCUUUACCAUGGUUUACUUGGAUAUGAAGAAAUAUAUAUUGAACCGCAUAAGGCA